rnacentral:rRNA from 1 species
UACAGAGGUCUCAAGCGUUGUUCGGAUUCAUUGGGCGUAAAGGGUGCGUAGGCGGCGCGGUAAGUCAGGUGUGAAAUCUCGGGGCUUAACUCCGAAACUGCAUUUGAUACUGCGGUGCUUGAGGACUGGAGAGGAGACUGGAAUUUACGGUGUAGCGGUGAAAUGCGUAGAUAUCGUAAGGAAGACCAGUGGCGAAGGCGGGUCUCUGGACAGUUCCUGACACUGAGGCACGAAGGCCAGGGGAGCAAACGGG